GACGAACGCUGGCGGCGUGCUUAACACAUGCAAGUCGAACGGAAAGGCCCAGCUUGCUGGGUGCUCGAGUGGCGAACGGGUGAGUAACACGUGGGUGAUCUGCCUCUAACUUCGGGAUAAGCUUGGGAAACUGGGUCUAAUACCGGAUAGGACAAUCGUUUAGUGUCGGUUGUGGAAAGUUUUUUCGGUUAGGGAUGAGCCCGCGGCCUAUCAGCUUGUUGGUGGGGUAAUGGCCUACCAAGGCGUCGACGGGUAGCCGGCCUGAGAGGGUGGACGGCCACAUUGGGGCUGAGAUACGGCCCAGACUCCUACGGGAGGCAGCAGUGGGGAAUAUUGCACAAUGGGCGCAAGCCUGAUGCAGCGACGCCGCGUGGGGGAUGACGGCCUUCGGGUUGUAAACCUCUUUCGACAGGGACGAAGCUUUGGUGACGGUACCUGUAUAAGAAGCACCGGCUAACUACGUG
rnacentral:rRNA from 1 species